UCGGGCAUGGUGGCCCAAGGGUCAUUCAAGGUGGCCCAAGGGUCAUUGAAGGUGUCCAGAGUGGCCCAAGGGUCAUUCAGUGUGGUCCAAGGGUCAUUCAAGGUGGCCCAAAGGUCAUUCAAGGUGGGCCAAGGGUCAUUCAAGGUGUCCAGGGUGGCCCAAGGGUCAGUCAUGGUGGUUCAAGGGUCAUUCAAGGUGUCCAAGAUGGUCCAAGGGUUGUCCAUGGUGGCCCAAGGUGGCCCAAGGGUCAUUCCAGGUGUCCAGAGUGGCCCAAGGGUCAGUCAAGGUGGUCCAAGGUGGCCUGAGGGUCAUUCAGUGUGGCCCAAAGUUGUCUGAGGGUCAUUCAAGGUGGUCCAAGGGUCAGUCAGGGUGGCCCAAGGGUCAUUCCAGGUGUCCACGGUGGCCCAAGGGUCAUUAGGGUGGGCCAAGGAUCAUUCAUGGUGGCCCAAGGGUCAUUCAGGGUGGGCCAAGGGUCAGUCAAGGUGGUCCAAGGGUCAUCUGAUGUGGUCCAGGGUGGCCCAGGGGUCAUUCAAGGUGGCCCAAGGUGGCCUGAGGGUCAUUCAGUGUGGCCCAAAGUUGUCUGAGGGUCAUUCAUGGUGGGCCAAGGGUCGGUCAUGGUGGUCCAAAAUGGCCUGAGGGUCAUUCAAGGUGGUCCAAGGGUCAGUCAAGGUGGUCCAAGGGUUGGUCAUGGUGACCCAAGGGUUAUUCAAGGCGUCCAGGGUGGUCCAAGGGUCGUCCAUGGUGGCCCAAGAUGGUCCAAGGGUCAGUCAAGGUGGCCCAAGGUGGCCUGAGGGUCAGUCAAGGUGGCCCAAAGGUCAUUCAAGGUGUCUAGGGUGGGCCAAGGGUCAUUCAAGGUGGGCCAAGGGUCAUUCAAGGUGUCCAAGGUGGCCCAAGGAUCAUUCAAGAUGGCCCAAGGGUCAUUCAAGGUGGGCCAAAGGUCAUUCAAGGUGUCCAAGGUGGUCCAAGGGUUGUCCGUGGUGUCCAGGGUGGCCCAAGGGUCAUUCAUGGUGGCUCAAGGUGGUCCAGAGGUCAUUCAAGGUGGCCCAAAGGUCAUUCAAGGUGUCCAGAGUGACCCAAAAGUCAUUCAGUGUGGUCCGAGGUGGCCCAAGGGUCAGUCAUGGUGGCCCAAGGGUCAUUCAAGGUGGACCAAGGGUGAUUCAAGGUGUCCAGGGUGGUCCAAAAUGGCCUGAGAGUCAUUCAAUGUGGUCCAAGUGUCAUUGAAGGUGUCCAGAGUGGCCCAAGGGUCAGUCAUGGUGGAUCAAGGGUCAUUCAGGUAGCCCAAAGCGGUCCAAGGGCCAUUCAAGGUGGUCCAAGGGUCAUUCAAGGAGACUCAAGGGUCAUUCAAGGUGUCCAUGGUGGUCCAAGGGUCAUUCAGUGUGGCCCAAAGUGGUCUGAGGGUCAUUCAAGGUGGGCCAGGGGUUGGUCAUGGUGGUCCAUCGUGGCCUGAGAGUCAGUCAAGGUGGCCCAAGGAUCAUUCAAGGUGGCCCAAGGUGGCCUGAGAGUCAUUCAGUGUGGCCCAAGUGUCAUUGCAGGUGUCCAGAGUGGCCCAAGGGUCAGUCAUGGUGGCCCAAAGUGGCCCAAGGAUCAGUCAAGGUGGUUCAAGGGUCAGUCAAGGUGGGUCAAGGGUUUUUCAUGGUGGCCCAAGGUGGCCUGAGAGUCAGUCAAGGUGGCCCAAGGGUCAUUGAAGGUAUCCAGAGUGGCCCAAGGAUCAUUCAAGGUGGCCCAAGGUGGCCUGACGGUCAGUCAAGGUGGGCCAAGGGUCAUUCAAGGUGUCCUGGGUGGUCCAGGGUUCACUCAAGGUGGCCUGAGGGUCAUUCAAGGUGGGCAAAGGGUUGGUCAUGGUGCUCCAAAAUGGCCUGAGGGUCAUUCAGGGUGGGCCAAGGGUGGGCCAAGGGUCAGUCAUGGUGGCCCAAGGAUCAGUCAUGGUGUCCAGAGUGGCUCAAGGGUCAUUCACGUUGGGCUAAGGGUUGGUCAUGGUGGUCCAAAAUGGCCUGAAGGUCAUUCGUUGUGGUUCAAGGGUCAUUCAAGGUGUCCAGAGUGGCCCAAGGAUCAUCCAGGGUGGUCCAAGGUGGCCUGAGGGUCAUUCAAGAUGGCCUGAGGGUCAUUCAGGGUGGCCCAAGAGUCAUACAGGGUGGCCCAAAGUAGCCUGAGGGUCAUUGAAGGUGGUCCAAGGGUCAGUCAUGGUGGGCCAAGGGUCAUCCAGGAUGGUCCAGGGUAUCCCAAGGGUCAUCCGGGGUGGCCCAAGGGUCAUUCAAGGUGGCCCAAGGUGACCUGAGGGUCAUUAAAGGUGGCCUGAGGGUCAUUCAAGAUGGCCCCAGGGUCAUUCAAGGUGGGUCACAGUGGUCUGGGGGGGUCCAAGAGUCAGUCAUGGUGGCCCAAGGGUCAUUGAAGGUGGCCCAAGGGUCAUCCAGGGUAGUCCAGGGGUCAUUCAAGGUGGUCCAAGGUAAUCCCAGGAGAUCCAAGGUGGCCCAGGGUCCAUCCUAGGUGGCCCAAGGUGGUUCAAGGUGACCCAGAGUCAUCCAAGGUUGCCCAGGGUCCAUCCAAGGUGGCCCAAAGCGGUUCAAGGUGGCCCAAACUCCAUCCCAGGUUGCCCAAGGCCCACCCAAGGUUGCCCAAGGCCCACCUAAGGUUGCCCAAACUCCAUCCCAGGUGGCCCAAAGCAGUUCAAGGUUGCCCAGGGUCCAUCCCAGUUUGCCCCAAGGUUGCCCAAGGCCCACCUAAGGUGGCCCAAGGUGGUUCAAGGUGGCCCAAAGUCCAUCCCAGGUGGCCGAAGAUCCAUGCCUGGUUGCCCAAGGCCCACCCAAGGUUGCCCAAGGUCCAUGCAAGGUGGCCAAAACUCCAUCCCAAGUGGCCCAAAAUGGUCCAAGAUGGCCCAAUGUCCAUCCAAGGUGGUUCAAGGUGGCCCAAAGUGGUUCAAGGUUGCCCAGAGACCAUCUCAGGUUGCCCAAGGUCCAUCCCUGGUUGCCAAAAGUGGUUUAAGGUGGCCCAGGGUCCAUCCCAGGUGGCCCAAACUCAAUCCCAGGUGGCCCAGGGUGGCCCAAAGUGGUCCAAGAUGGCCCAAGGUCCAUCCCAGGUUGCCCAAAGUCCAUCCCUGGUUGCCAAAAGUGGUUCAAGGUUGCCCAAACUCAAUCCCAGGUGGCCCAAAGUGGUUCAAGGUGGCCCAAUGUCCACCCAAGGUGGCCCAGAGUGGUCCCAGGUGGCCCAGGGUCCAUCCCAGGUUGCCCCAAGGCCACCACGGCUCCUCAGACCCCCCUGGGAUCCCCAAAAAUCCCAAAAAAAUCCCCCAAAAAAUCCCAAAAUUCCCCAAACGCCCGAAUUUGGCGAUUCCGCCCCAAAGCACUUACGGGGGGGGAGGGGUGGGGGCGGAGCCUUGACCCCUCCCCCACCCCAGAUUUGGGCUUUUCCCACCGAUUUUGGGCAAAUUCAUUCCUAAAAAAAAUUAAAAAUUGGGAAAUUUGGGAUGUGGGAGGGGUCAGAUCCCGGAAUUCUGGGGGGAUUUGGGGGGGAUUUGGGAGUUUCACGGUACCACCGGGACCUCCCGGCGCUCUUCGCACUUUAAGACCCCCCCAAAGGGCACAAAAAUCCCAAAAAUAAAAUUUAAAAAAGGCUCCCAUCCCAAAAUUUUAAUUUUGGGGGAUU